AACCAUUCUCACCUGCGGCUAGACCUGCGGAAGGAUCAUUAUUGAAUAAACUUGGUCAAGCUGUUGCUGGUCCUUCGGGGCAUGUGCACGCUUGCCACCAAUUUUAACCACCUGUGCACCUUUUGUAGAUUGGAAACGUUUCUCGAGGCAACUCGGAUUGAGGACUGCUGUGCGCAAGCCAGCUGUUCUUGUGUUUCUCAAUCUAUGUUUUCAUAUACUCCUAAUGUAUGUAUCAGAAUG
rnacentral:misc_RNA from 1 species